rnacentral:sRNA from 1 species
AAAAAAAUAGUGUCGACUUAACCUAAACUUCAUCUUCUUCAUUUCAUUUCUUUCUCAAGCCGCCGAAAUCACUAAUCCUUCUCUAGAUCCUUCGAUUCUUCACCGUUUCUUGUGAUUUCAGGCUCUAAACUCAUUAGAAUUUCAUCCUCUAUCUUCCCCAAGUAUCAAUUCCAUCGAUCUGCAAGAUGACUGGGCAGAAAAAGAAGGCAAGGAAAAGCGUUCCUCCAUCCUCCUCCUCCGCCGCUGCUCACCACCGCCGGAGCUUCUCG